rnacentral:rRNA from 1 species
UACGGGGGGGAGCAAGCGUUGUUCGGAUUUACUGGGCGUAAAGGGCGCGUAGGCGGUCAGCACAAGUCAGUUGUGAAAUCUCCGGGCUUAACUCGGAAACUGCCCGUUGAUACUAUCAAUCUUGAAUGUUGUGGAGGUAAGCGGAAUAUGUCAUGUAGCGGUGAAAUGCUUAGAUAUGACAUAGAACACCGAUAGCAAAGGCAGCUUGCUACACAAUAAUUGACACUGAGGCACGAAAGCGUGGGGAU